rnacentral:rRNA from 1 species
ACAGUAUCGUUCAGAGUUUGAUCCUGGCUCAGGACGAACGCUGGCGGCGUGCUUAACACAUGCAAGUCGGACGGAGUUGAGGAGCUUGCUCCUUAACUUAGUGGCGAACGGGUGAGUAACGCGUGAGGAACCUGCCUCUCAUGGGGGACAACAGUUGGAAACGACUGCUAAUACCGCAUAAUGCUAUUGACCGGCAUCGGUUGAUAGCCAAAGAUUUAUUGCUGAGAGAUGGCCUCGCGUCUGAUUAGCUAGUUGGUGGGGUAACGGCCCACCAAGGCGACGAUCAGUAGCCGGACUGAGAGGUUGACCGGCCACAUUGGGACUGAGAUACGGCCCAG